CAGUCGCCACGGUAAUACAGAGGGUGCAAGCGUUAAUCGGAAUUACUGGGCGUAAAGCGCGCGUAGGUGGUUUGUUAAGUUGGAUGUGAAAUCCCCGGGCUCAACCUGGGAACUGCAUCCAAAACUGGCAAGCUAGAGUAUGGUAGAGGGUGGUGGAAUUUCCUGUGUAGCGGUGAAAUGCGUAGAUAUAGGAAGGAACACCAGUGGCGAAGGCGACCACCUGGACUGAUACUGACACUGAGGUGCGAAAGCGUGGGGAGCAAACAGGAUUAGAUACCCCGGUAGUCCCUGUCUCUUAUAA
rnacentral:rRNA from 1 species